rnacentral:rRNA from 1 species
GACGUAGGGCGCGAGCGUUGUCCGGAUUUAUUGGGCGUAAAGAGCUCGUAGGCGGCUUGUCGCGUCGACUGUGAAAACCCGUGGCUCAACCAUGUGGUCUGCAGUCGAUACGGGCAGGCUAGAAUUCGGUAGGGGAGACUGGAAUUCCUGGUGUAGCGGUGAAAUGCGCAGAUAUCAGGAGGAACACCGGUGGCGAAGGCGGUUGCCUGGAGCUUUGCUGACGCUGAGGCGCGAAAGCGUGGGGAGCGAUCCGG